rnacentral:RNase_P_RNA from 1 species
AGUAGUGAGAGACCGGCUGCCGAUGGCUUUUUGCCAGCUUUUUGGGAAAAAGCUGUUGAGGAAAGUCCGUCCACCGCAAACUCAUGGAGUUUGUAAUUAAAACACCUGAAAGGGUGGCUUCCGGAACAGAAACGACACCAAUUCAAGGAACAAAAAAAAACGAUGACUGGAAAAAGAGUUUUUCCUUGAAUCAGGAUGAAACGCGCUGGAAGCUGGUGCAAGCCUUCAAUGGCGCUCAGGUGAAUGCUGGUAACCAAAAAAAUUAAUUUUUUUUUGGCGAACAAAAGACGGCUUACUCCUCACUGCU